UAGACUUUGCCCUGGACGAGCCCUAAUAAGCAAACUAGCUUUGAAAAUGGAGGGAAGAACUCUGUGACAUUGGCGGCGCUAAAGCAACGGAGUCCAAAAGAAAUGGCUACACAAGAAGACGAUGAAGACUAUAUAAAUCCCCCUGAAAUGAUCUUGCCUGAUGAAGAAGAUGAAGGGAAGAGCCUUACCAUGCUAGGUGACGGUGCAGUGACGCAACAACUGCAACAACAUUGUAUCCGUUCGAUCGAGUCAACGGUGGUGAUUAGGCAGCUUCCUUCGGAAGGGAUUUCUUUCCAGCUUUGGCCAGCCG
rnacentral:lncRNA from 1 species